CAGAAUACAAUGUAAAAAAAAUAUUAUAUAGUUAACAUUUGAAAAUCAAAAUAGCUCCGUGCGUAGCGCGUAUUAACUCCUAGUCUAUAUAAUGAGGCACUUUUCUCUCUUCUGAGAGUGUCCACGUGGACAUGUUUUAAAAUUUGUGGGUCCCACUUUCUUAUCGGUUUGGUUUGUUCUUCUGAUCAUUAUUAAGUUCUUGCGUUUGGUUUGAUUAUUUUGUCGAUAUGAUUUUGGUUUUCUCCGUUGGUUUGAUUAAUCCAAACUCUGCGUUUUGUGUUCAUUGUUAUCGCUCUUAGAAUCUUCGCCCUCGCCGUUUGAAAACACAAUUGCUUCUUCUCUCAACUCUGACUUCAUGGGAAUCACUCUACUUUUCCUUGAUGAGAAGUUUUAUGGUUGUGAGGAUCCCAUCUCAACUAUUAAUAUUGUAUUUCAUCCGCAAAAGUUGAGAACAAAAGAGACAACGAACCAGCUGCGUGAGCCUGAUUCAAAGAGGUUGAUUGACGUAAUUGCUGCUAAUGGUGUUCUGUUCAUAAUGGCAGCGCUCCGAAUAGAAAGGUUCACUUGCGGUUGGUUGCAGAGACUGGAAAAUCAUCAUUUUCCAUUGCAUGCGUUGGUAGGCUCAAGUUUAUCUCUUGAUGUGCACAGCCUUCAUGAAAUCCGCUGAAGCAGACUUCCUGUGUGCAGGCCGUUGAGUUCCUAUGCACAGGGGCAGUUGUUGGCAUUUAUACAGCGAAUGGAUGGUCCAAAACUGCAAUGUUGGAGUUUGAGGUACCGUGUCCAGAUGACCGUCUCCUUAGCAUCUGACUCUGCUGAGUUUGUAGCUUUCGACUCUGAUAUAAGUAAGCUGACUAAUAUCAGAGCUGCAGAGAUCUCUCAACAAAUGAAAACGCAGGUCUCCGAGACCCCCCAGAGUUGGGCCUUGCCACAAUGCAUAGAGGGCAUUGUUGGUCGCACCUUCCAGUUGAAGUUCUCUCGGCUCAAAUUCUUAUAUAAACAUCAGAGUUUCACUGUAUCUCGCAUUUACGAUACUCACCGGUGUCGACCACAACCAGUUUUGAGAACCAAGGUGGUGAUAACAACCCUGGUGAUGAUAUGCCUGGUGGUGGAGCUGUUAAAAUAUGCCAUCCAGCUGAGAACAGAAGGGACUUGGACAUUAGAUGCAACAUUGCUGAUGGGAAUGUUGCUGGGCAAACAUCUGCUCCAAAUGGAUGAAAUGAGGCACCUGUAGCUGAACAGAAAACAUGAGAGGAAAGGCGCUCGACAAAGAAGAAGAGAAACGAUGAAAUUAUCAAGUUCUAAGAGUGAUUGACUAUGAAGUUACGCUCACUGAAACCUUGCAUUCCAGGCUUUUGAAAAUUUUCUCACAUUUCAUAAGAUAAAGACUAUUAUUUUCCUAAAACGGUGUCAUUUCUUUUUUUGGUUAUUAUGAUUUUUUUAUUUGACUCAGAGUUUCCUUUGUAGGGUUGAGAAUAAUAAGUAAUUUACUUUGAACAACAAAAAAUUUGGAGAGUCAAUAACAACACCAGCACAAAACUUCAAAAACACUUCAUCACCUCUAGGGAUGGCAAUCAAGGACCUGGACCGCGGGUCUGGCCCGUAAAGGCUUGCUGUGGGGCGGGAUUAGGCCUCCAUUUAGUAAACCCGCAAAAUCGCGGGCCUCGCGGGACGGGUCGAAAGCGAGACGGAUCGAAAGUGGGACGGUUCAAAAGCGGGAUGAGCUUAACUUGCGGGAUUUUGAAGACCCGCAGCCCUAAGUCCCUAUUUCUGCUUUCGCCUAAAACAUUUAGAGAGAGAGAGAGAGAGAGAUGAGAUGAUUCGACGUUAUGUAGCUCCGGUGAUGGUGGUUUUAGGGUCGAUGAUGCUUCCGGUCUCCCAAGUGCCUUCAAUCUGCACCGAUGGAGCUUCUUCGAGUCAUCAUAAGAAGUUUGAAAACUCACUUUCCACCGAAGAAGAAGAUCUAGUACUCCCGCCAUGAGUUCUUCAUAGUUUUGCCUAUAUGUAUUUGUUCACAUUAUCAUACAUUUUGGAGUUUUAGGCUUCAAUAUAUCUUUAACUGACUUCUAUUAUUCUUAUUUGCAGAAGAUGAAGUUGAUGGUGAAGAAGAUAAAUUUCCAUCUUUUUAUCGCUUGUUUGUGAUAAAGAUGAAGAACAAGAAGUGUGAUUGGUGUUUUUUUUAAUCUAUUUUUGGGAUUCGCAUCUUUGAUUUGGUGUUGGUUUUAUUUAAUUUUGGAUUCAGAAAACUAAAGCAUUUGUUAUGAACUUAUGAGUUAUAUAAUAUUUGGAUUCAACAACUAAAGUACUGUUUAUUUUAAAAAUGUUUGGAGUCUAACAAAAGUAAAUAAACUAGUGUUUUGAUCCAACUAAAAUAUUCAACUAACAAGGGUAUUGCCUUAUCCAGUUCAAUCUUCGACUAAACUCACUUACUGAUGCGUCAUGAAACUGAUAAAGCAUCAUGAAUCAUGUUUUGAAGCGUUCAGGAGCCAUAUGUCUGUUUGUAAUUAUAUGUCCCGCGGGCCGAUCCGCAAAGGCUUACAUGUUUUGCGGUACGGGUUUGAUCAGCCAUUUUGAGGACCGCAGCCCGCGCGGGCCUGACCCGCCGUGACCCGCUCGAAGACGAUCCCGCUGCGGUACGGGACGAGACGGAUCAACCUGUUUGACAUUCCUAAUCACCUCCAUAGAUUUAGAUAGAGCAACAACUAGGGAUGUUUAAAUGGGCCAAAGCCGACGGGCAUAACGGGCUGUGUUUAAACGGGUAGAACCCGUACCCGUUUAUUUGUAUGUAAAGAGUUAACGGGUUCACACAGGGUCGACCCGUUAAAGAGGAUUUAUUCAACGGGUUUACCCGCGAACAAAAGGGUGCCCAUUUAAUUUUUUUUUCUUUUCAACGACGUCGUAUUAACUUAGGUUUUUUUUUAUCUCAAAAUUUAGAAUCUUUCUGCCGUCAAUUUUCUUCUCCUCUUAGCUGUGUGUCGAUGAAACUGAGAAACAUGACAUGAAUCGAAAUUGAGAAACAACAAUCUUGUGGGUCUCUUCGUUUUCUUCACUAAGAGAAGGCUGCUUUGGUUCAACGGUUCGUUUUUGCUGUGACCUGUGAGCGUAUGUGCUGUGAGCCUGUGAGCGUCCUAAAUCCUAUUACUUCAAGUCUUCAAAUAACAACAAGAUGGAGAAAGGGGUUGGUUUGAGAUUAAAGGAGGAGGAUGAAGUUGGUUUCUAUCUUGUUUUCCUAUGGUUUAGUUUUCUUUUUUUUUUUUUUUUUUUGAGAAAGGGCUUUGGUUCAGUUUUCUUACGAAGCAAACUUUAUGUAUUUUCAGAUUCUCUAUGGUGUAGUCUUUCACUUUCUAAGUUUCAGAUUUUAUUUUUAGCAAAAAAAAAAAAAGUUUCAGAUUUUAUGUACUUGCAGAUUUUAAAUAUUUAUUAUAGACACAAAUCAGGUUUAUUUGAUCAAAAAAAAAAAAGACACAAAUCAGGUUUAUUACAUAUUAAGAUAACUAAAAAAUGAAAGAAACAAUAACAUUACAUAAAAUAAAUAAUUAAAACAGAGAUAAAGUUAUUACAUAAAAUAGUUUCUUAAGAUUUAGUAAAUCUGAUUUACAUGGCAAAAAAAAAAACAAAUCUGUAUUUAAAAGUUAAUUAAACUGUAGUUGGAAAAAAAAUAAACGGGCACACGAGCCUAAACGGACACACGGGUCUAAACGGGCAUCUCCAUGUAAAACAGACUCACAGUUAACGGGCUUAAACGGGUUUGCUGGUUAAACGGGCAUGUGUUCACGGGCUUUAAACGGGCAUGAGUAUAAACGAGUAGGAUUUAAACGGGCUCGGGUAGCCCGUUUUAACAUCCCUAGCAACAACUUACGUCAACGACCCUGCACUUGCGCGGAGCUACGCCCCUAGUAAUUUAUAAUGACAAAGUAAUGAAGAUUCAGUAUUUUUGUACUUUCCUUUGUCCUAUGAUUUAGUCUAGUAAUUACAAAAGUUUAUGAGUUAGUCUAGUAAUUCCAUGUAUAAUUUGAGUCAUUAUAAGUAAUUUCUCUUUUUUUUUGGUAAAAAUGUUAAGAUAUUAUUACCAAUUUUUCAAUUUUUGACAGAAAUACAAAAGAAACGAGAAGCGGAUGAAACAAAGGUAGAACUAAACAAAGACUCGACUUAGACUGAUUUGGGUAGACACAACAAGUAGACACAGCUUACCACUGGCCUCGCCUAGUCGAAACAACCCGCUUGCCGCAGAAGGAGAAGCCACAGUGAAACCAAGAGUCAGAACCCGGUAGAAAUUGGUUUGCCCGAUGAUCCGCUCUUUAUGAUAAGACUCCCCCAAAAACAGCUCGCAUAUGUCCUUCUAAACUACAACCAAGACUGUCAGACAGCAAAAAACUGCGGCCAAGCACCAGCAAAGACAAGGACAAGCAAACAGAACAAGCCUCCAAGGAAAGCAUAAGUCGAGGAACCGUACCACCUAAAGACCCGAACACCUUAUUCGAACAAAACAGGCUGCGAAAAGGCACUAACAAUAACGAACACCAGAACCUGCAAUAGAGAACAACAAAGUUAUACCUGCUCACACCAUUGGCAACUCAGGCACAUGGAUGAACAGAGUCGAAACAAGUCUCCAUCGCCGAAGGAGAGACAGAUGACACCCUGACGCUUCAAAUCAACGUCUUGCCCCGAAGGCAGAGAACCUGACUCCGGUCUCCAUUGCACUUUGUUUGGAAAAACCGGAGAACACGACAAUGAAGAAUGGCCCACGAAAAAGGACUGAGAGCUCGAGACCUCAGAAGAGGCAGAGACGGCUGGACACAAGAGAUGAGACACAACAACAAAGAGAGAGCAACCACCAAACCAGAAGUUUGAAAAAGCCAUAGACGACAAACCAACCAUCCGGGAAGAAGUUGCAGACAUGGAGUCACAGAAGCUCGACAACCACACAACCAUCAGACCUCUGUGCAUGAACCGAUAGAAGAAAUAUAUCACCUCCCUUGAGCCAAGAUCGAACCCCCUUCCGAUGCGAGUCGCCAAGCAAGGGAAAGGAAGAAAGCCAGGACUCCUCUCCACGACGAAGACUACUUCGGAAAAAGCACUUACCGAACUGGAGGAGUGAUAUCUUGCAUAUUUGAAUUGUUUUAAGCUUCCAUUUUGUACAUAAUGAUCAUAUAGAUUAGGAGUUUAGCAUCUUUAGGAUCCAUUUUGCAUUCAUAUGUCUUAAUCAGGUAAUGGAGUAUCCUAUGGAGCAAUCAGAGGUAUUUAGAAGCAUUGUGAUCCAAAAAGAGAUGAAGAAUGGAGAUUGAUCAAUCAUAAGGCGAUCGAUGCGGGUAGCAGCACCCCGAGUCAACUGACCCGCGUCACCGAAAGAUCAACUCGAGAAGCCACGCGGGAAGGAUCACGCGGGGUCGAGUACCCGCUCGCACGGACUAGAAGAAUCAUCGCGGUCCGACGCGGGGAAGGCGACGCGGGUGAUCCACAUCUUCCCCUACCCGCAUUGCCGAAGUGUUUGUCGAGGAGUCACGCGGGUGAAGCAGCGCGGGAUCACUCACCCGCUCGCACGAAGAAAGAGCAUCGUCGAAGGUCCAACGCGGGGAGGAUGACGCGGGUUGGUGUCGAUCGUCUCAACCCACGUCACGAAGAGAAGGAAUUGAUAGAGUCACGCGGGACGGAGCCACGCGGGAUCACCUACCCACGCGCAUGACAGAGAAGUCUCGACGACGGUCCGACGCAGGUUGGCUGACGCGGGAUGUGCCCGUCCAUUUCUACCCGCGUCGACGCGUUAUCUUAUUCGAAAUGUUAAUGUUUUUUAAGGGCUUUUAUGACUUUUUAAUGAAAACCAUUAGGUUUUCCAAAGACAUAUAAAUACUCUUGUAAUCCUAAAGUUAGGGGAGCUGGUUUUUUCUCUCCAAUCACAAAGAACUUUUAGGUGAAAGAUCUUAUCUUGAUCAUUUUCUCUUGUGAUUGCUUGAUUAUUGGGAUCACUAAUCAUGAUUAGCACCAAAUCAUCAUUGAUUCUUGGGCUCAUCAUGA